UCAUCUCAGCCUUUCAGAGUAAAGGCAACAUGAGUGAACACGGUGGAGGCCAGAAAGUCUCUCAAAUCCAGGCUGAUGCUCUUGGGAACAAAAAGAAAUAAGAGAGAACUCCUACUAAAAGGCCUCCACUAAUUGGUAGUUCAGAGGAGGACAAGUCAAUCCUAAAAUCCCAUGGAGCCACCCAGGGGGAUAAUAUGGAGAAGAGCCAGGAUGGCCAGGGACAAGGGUCCUCCUCCAAAGGAUACACCAGCCUCAGCUCCACUCAAAAAGAGUCUAAGUUAUCUGAAAAUUUGAAGCGAAGCCAAUCUAAAACUAGGUCAGGUGGGGUACCAUAAUUCAGAGAUUGGUUUCCUUGUUCCUUCCAUUCGUUCUUCUGUGGCUCUUCCUUGGUUUAGGAGAGAGCACAGUUUAGCUAUUCAUGGAAUUUGAUUUUAUCGACUAAAAUGGAUCUCAAAUAUCAUCACAAUCCACCAGUCUAUUUCAAAGAUAAAGAAACAUAACACCUGAAGUGGAUCAAUUCAUUCAUUUCUUGAAACAAUUAAAUGCUGACUAUAUCCCUUUCUCUUUGCCAAAAAUUUGUUUAUAUAUAACAAUAUAUGGGGCAGAGUGGGAAGUGAAUGCUCUGAUAUGGGGUACCACUUAUGCAGAGGCUUAAAAGCAUGAAGACAGGAGCAUCUUUGGGAAACUCAGAGCUCUAUGUAUUUGCAGCAGCAAGAGAGGCAGUAGGACAGAUGUGGUCCUAGGUCAUGAAAGGGGCCUAGGGAAGUGUUUGAGGCAAAGGAGUGACUUGACCAUACCUAUACUUAGAAUGAUCACCUAGGUGAUACAGACAGACCAGAAUCAGAGAAGCCAGUUAGUACCAUGGACAUGAAGAGAGAGAGAUGAUAAAAGACCUAAAUGAUGGACUUGUAGAUGGGUCAUUGACAUAUACUCAGUAGAACAUUGUAAGUGAUUAAAGAAGGGAAUAAGGGAUAGAGGAGAAUAUGAAAUGACUUCCAGAUUUCCUGCUUGGUGGUCUAGGCGGAUGGCAGUGCUAUUCAUACAUGUAGGAAAGAACAAGAGGAUGAGCCCUAAUGAACUCAAUUUGAACAGAUCCAACAUGAACU
rnacentral:lncRNA from 9 species